rnacentral:lncRNA from 1 species
GACUAAAGCCAGACUGCUAUUAGUUAAGCAUUACAUCAGCGAUUAAAAGUCUUUUGGGGUGUGGAAUCGGGCAGCGUCACUGGAGCUGAGAGCCAAUCUGUGAGGGCUCCUAGGGCAGGCACAUUCGUCCCUCACUGCUAUUGCAACUUUGGCCCAUGCUGCCCCAUAUUAGUGCCUGCUGCAGUUUUAAGAACAUCAGAACCCAUCGGUCAACCUCCAGGGAGGCACCCCUCUCCCUGGUUGCUUAGGGCCGAAAACCCCGACCCUCAUGUUUUUAAAGAGAAUUGGAAUCCUAUGUGAAUAAGGUGGGAAAACUGGAAAGAUUGAAUGUCCUUUGGAGUUCACAGAGGUUUGGCAGUGGGAGGAGAAAAACAAAACGAAGCAUAGUGGGAGUGUUGAACAGACUUUCCCAAGAUCCCCAGGAAAAGCAAAGCUACUACAAGAACUCACUACAUCAAUGCGUGUUCAUUAUUGAGACCAUCCUAGGAGAGCGUGCAUCAUCACAGGCUGCUCUGAGGUCUGUGCCCAAUCAAGCAAAGAACAACGGGGAUAAUCACACUGUGCAGAGGGUGACCAAUUUAGAAAAAAAGGACCCUUAAGAAGAUCUUCCAACUUCCUUAAAUGACUUUCAUUAAUUUUACACCUUUUGCCAAUUAAUUGCACUUAUGAGCCUUCCUUGUCAAUUACUGCAUUCUCAUUUUCGGCAAUUGAACUAAUCUUGGCCUAUUCAUAUUUUGUUUUUUAAAUAGGUAUUUCCAAUUAUUGAUAUAGAUCUUUAUAAUUACAUUACAAAUGUUUCACCAUAUUUAUUCAUUCUUUAUAGAGACAAAAUAAAGGUUCUAUCAUCUACACUUAAAACAUGUACUUUUUUCUUCACAGCAAAACUUACAAUAUUCUCCUUAUUUGGUGAUUACUUUAAAACAAAUAUAUUCCAUUUAAAAUAUAAGCUCAAUAACUACAGAUACAUGUAUGUGUGUGUGUGUAUAUAUAUAC